rnacentral:rRNA from 1 species
AUGGAACCUAAGCGUGCCCCUGGCCCCGAUAGUAUCCCGGCCGAAUUUUAUCAACAUUGUUGGGAGGUGGUUAAUGCAGACUUGUAUCGUUUAUUCGAAUGGUUUUACGAAGGUAAAUUGGAUGUACAGAGACUGAAUUAUGGCAUAAUUACCCUGUUGCCUAAAUCCUCUGAAGCCAAGAGAAUCCAGCAAUAUAGACCCAUUUGUUUGCUGCGAUGUCCCUAUAAACUGAUCACUAAGGUGAUGGAUAGGAGGGUGAGUGUCUAUGCUCCUAAGUUGUUUAGUAUCCAGCAAAAUGCCUUUAUAAAAGAAAUAAAUAUUAUGGAUGGUGUCCUUUCCCUCCAUGAAAUUAUGCAUUAUGCUCACAUCAAAAAACAGGUCGGGGUUAUCCUUAAUCUUGACUUUGAGAAAGCGUACGACAAAGUUAACUGGGAUUUCCUUCUCGACUGUCAUGUUAAACGAUGGUUUAAUGACAAAUGGUGUGGUUGGGUUUCUCAAAUUCUUCGUAAUGGUACGGUUAGUGUCAAGAUUAAUGAUGAGACGGGUCCGUAUAUCCAGAGUGCUAAAGGUGUCCGAUAG